rnacentral:snoRNA from 2 species
CCCCUCUCAGGGCCGCACCCGGAGAGUUUCCAGUCCUCUACCAGUCUCGGCUAUGGGAGGGAGAGUCAAGCAGAGGCCUACACAUUCCAUUCCUAGCUUGGCCAGCGGCUAGAAAGUGGAAGGCCAUCUGCUACAAGU